CCAACGGCCCUCUUUAGGGCCACAAAUAAUCCUAUAAUCCAGUUUU
rfam:Caenorhabditis brenneri strain PB2801 C_brenneri-6.0.1_Cont6.3, whole genome shotgun sequence.